rnacentral:rRNA from 1 species
UACGGAGGGUGCGAGCGUUGUCCGGAAUCACUGGGCGUAAAGGGUGCGUAGGCGGUUGUUUAAGUCUGUCGUGAAAUCCCCGGGCUCAACCUGGGAAUGGCGAUGGAUACUGGGCAGCUAGAGUGUGUCAGAGGAUGGUGGAAUUCCCGGUGUAGCGGUGAAAUGCGUAGAGAUCGGGAGGAACAUCAGUGGCGAAGGCGGCCAUCUGGGACAACACUGACGCUGAAGCACGAAAGCGUGGGGAGCAAACAGG